GACGGAGGGGGCAAGCGUUGUCCGGACUCAUUGGGCGUAAAGGGUGCGUAGGCGGCUUCCUAAGUUUGAUGUGAAAUCCUGGGGCUCAACCCUGGAACUGCAUUGAAUACUGGGAGGCUAGAGUACUGGAGAGGAAACUGGAAUUUACGGUGUAGCAGUGAAAUGCGUAGAGAUCGUAAGGAAGACCAGUGGCGAAGGCGCUCUACUGGACCACAACUGACACUCAGGGACGAAAGCUAGGGGAGCGAAUGGG
rnacentral:rRNA from 1 species